rnacentral:rRNA from 1 species
CCCGGCGACCGGCGCACGGGUGAGUAACACGUAUGCAACCUGGCCGUGACAGAUGGAUAACCGGGAGAAAUCCCGCCUAAUACAGCAUGACGCCGGGAAGGGACAUCCCUUUCCGGCCAAAGGGGGCGACUCCGGUCACGGAUGGGCAUGCGGCGCAUUAGGUAGUUGGUGGGGCAACGGCCCACCAAGCCGACGAUGCGUAGGGGUUCUGAGAGGAAGGUCCCCCACAUUGGAACUGAGACACGGUCCAAACUCCUACGGAAGGCAGCAG